rnacentral:rRNA from 1 species
GCCUACGGGGCGCAGCAGUGGGGAAUCUUCCGCAAUGGGCGAAAGCCUGACGGAGCAACGCCGCGUGAUCGAAUGAAGGCCUUCGGGUUGUAAAGAUCUGUUGACAGGGACGAAUAAGCCAUGCGAAUAGUUUGGUGUAUGACGGUACCUGUUUAGAAAGCUCCGGCUAACUACGUGCCAGCAGCCGCGGUAAUACGUAGGGGGCAAGCGUUAUCCGGAUUUACUGGGUGUAAAGGGAGCGUAGACGGCUGUGCAAGUCUGAAGUGAAAUGCCGGGGCCCAACCCCGGAACUGCUUUGGAAACUG